UACGUAGGCAGCGAGCGUUGUUCGGAGUUACUGGGCGUAAAGGGUGCGUAGGCGGUUGUUUAAGUUUGGUGUGAAAUCUCCCGGCUCAACUGGGAGGGUGCGCCGAAUACUGAAUGACUAGAGUGCGGGAGAGGAUAGUGGAAUUCCUGGUGUAGCGGUGAAAUGCGUAGAUAUCAGGAGGAACACCGGUGGUGUAGACGGCUAU
rnacentral:rRNA from 1 species